ensembl:lncRNA
GGUACAGAGUCAAUGUGGAGGCUAUAUACAGGGUAUUAAGGUACAGAGUCAAUGUGGAGGCUAUAUACAGGGUGUUAAGGUACAGAGUCAAUGUGGAGGCUAUAUACAGGGUAUUAAGGUACAGAGUCAAUGUGGAGGCUAUAUACAGGGUAUUACGGUACAGAGUCAAUGUGGAGGCUAUAUACAGGGUAUUACGGUACAGAGUCAAUGUGGAGGCUAUAUACAGGGUAUUACGGUACAGAGUCAAUGUGGAGGCUAUAUACAGGGUGUUACGGUACAGAGUCAAUGUGGAGGCUAUAUACAGGGUAUUACGGUACAGAGUCAAUGUGGAGGUUAUAUACAGGGUAUUAAGGUACAGAGUCAAUGUGGAGGCUAUAUACAGGGUGUUAGG